rnacentral:rRNA from 1 species
GUCUACAGUCAUGCCAGCUUGAACAAGCCCAAUCCCGUCUGAUCUCGGAAGCUAAGCAGGGUCGGGCUUGGUUAGUACUUGGAUGGGAGACCACCUAGGAAGACCAGGUGCUGUAGGCA